AUUGUGCUGAAAUAUCAACUUUUUUGUGAGGGUAUUUAGAAUUCACCAUGUCCCAUUCCCAAUUGGUUUUUUUUCCCUCGACCAGCUUGGCGAAUUUGACGGGCAACGUGAAUGUCGGCGGCAGGAAAGAAAAUAAAUAUGCCACAAUAUGUUAACGACAAGUCUGCCUUGGCCUCCAGUCACCUGCCACGCCCCUUGCCGGCAUUAGCACUUUCGGCUGCCUCCGCUAGGUGAACUACGUGCCAAGUUAUACUUUCGGCUCUGACUGUAAAUAAAUAUUAUUAAAGCGACACUAAAAAAUUGUAUUCGAUUAUUCAGCAAGUGCUAAGAUAAAUGAAUGGCCAUGGGGCUGGUGGAAAUGGGCGAGUGGCUUACCACGAAUUAUGUGCAAUAAAUGGAAUGUGACAGCAUAAAUCAUUACAGCAGAUAGCUCUGUUUCCCUGGCCCAGUGCGCAUGUGUGUGUGUGUGUGUGUGGGAGUCCUUUUCCAUUGCCGUUUCGCCCAAAAGUACGCAAUCAUUUUUCAAUAAGCUGUAUUAGCUUGUCAGCCAACAGAUGGCGUUGCGUAGGAGCCGCUUGUAAACACAUGCAGAUACAUAGAUCACCAUAUCAAUGCUCCAAAUGGGGAAAACAUUCAAAUAUUGUCUCCGUUACGAAAUCGCCGGCGGCCGAUUGGACCGACCAGUUGUAAUUCGAUCGUUCGUUGGUGUUCAUUGUAGGGGGUGUUCCCGCUUAAUUGGAAGUGUAUUCAAUAGGUUGAAAACCGCUCCGCUGGGAAAUCACUUCUAAGAACUAGUUAUCGCACCAUUUCCCAUUUGGACGAAGUGAACGGACAAAUUGCAAUCACAACGUCCGCCUAUUUGCGAGGACGAUGCAGUUGCCAAUUGCCGAAAAAGCUCCGCAACGGUUGCCAAUAAGUUUGGCAAUCAAGUCGGACUUCCCCUGCGCGGCCGAAACCGGCCAUAAUUACAAGUUAAUGGUGUCCGCGUGUAAGCUGUUCUCCGUUGGCCGGAGUACUGCGCCCUGUUGGUAAUAACUUUAUUAAUUACAUCCUCGGACUUGGCAAGACACUCGCAAGGACCUCGGCGUCCCUUUUUCGUUCCUGGGCAACAGCUGGCCUCCUUCGGUUCUUGUGUGCGCCUUAUUAAUUUAUUCAAUUUCCCCUUUUUACGGCCUCCCCAAGUGAAUUAGCAGCUGAAAGUGCUCUCAGUACUCUCACCGCUACUUCGUUUCCCUUUCAGCAGGAAAGUAAGGAAAGUAGUCCCUGAACUUUAAAUGACUUCCAUUACUGCACAUCUAAUCUCAUUUUUUGGUGUAGCAUAAGUUUGUGAAUAUUGAGUGAAAGGGUUUCAUACACUUCCAUGUCACGAGUACAUCCAAUCACAAGGCAUUGAUUUAAAAGGCUUAACUGAGGCGUGAAUGGGAUUUUCCUACCUUUUUUCGAUAAGAGCCACCAGUCAUAUCCACAUAAAUCACCGAGAACUGUUCUUCAAAAGCGGCAUCGCAUCAAAGACCGCCGACUGGCGCUUAAGCUCUGCUUCUGGCCCCCCGGGUCCAACUUUCCUCUCUGCUGACUAAAUGCCCACCAGCCUGUUCACAUAUGGCAACUAUUUGCCCGCAAAUUGGUAUAAAUGAUGGUGGAUUACGCCAAAUGCUCUCCAUAAAUAAGGAUUCCCAAUGUGGGAGGAAUGGGAAAUGAAAGAUAGAAAUCAACCAAAAUGAACUAUACUCUUUUUAUUAAAGAAAUUCAUAACAGAUUCUUAGAUAACAGCCUAGAUUUUGCAUAUUACAUUUUAGCCUUGGAAUCUAUACUUAUUGCUUACAUUUAAAGUUAACAAAACUACAAAUUUAAUAUAAAACUAUGGCAAAUUGCUAAACAAGCAAAUAAGAUAGCGAUCUGUUCGUAGAAAUGUGUGUACCCUUAGCCGAAAAGGGUGUGUGGCAAUCCCAAGGCGAAAAAUUCCCCCGAGGAAGGCCAGAAAAAGCAAAACGCAGAAAAGUAGGCAAUGAUUUUUAUUAAUUGAUAAGCAUUUGCAACAAGUUGCACAGACACAAGGGUAAACACCAGCACUCACACACACACACACGCUGUACAUA